rnacentral:rRNA from 1 species
AUACGGAGGAUGCGAGCGUUAUCCGGAUUUAUUGGGUUUAAAGGGUGCGUAGGCGGUCGGGUAAGCGUAGGGUGAAAGUCCUCUGCUCAACAGAGGAAGUGCCUUCCGAACUGUCCGACUGGAAUGCUCCUGCCGUGGGAGGAAUGUGUGGUGUAGCGGUGAAAUGCAUAGAGAUCACACAGAACACCGAUUGCGAAGGCAUCUCACGAAGGGGCUAUUGACGCUGAGGCACGAAAGCGUGGGGAUCAAACAGGAUUAGAUACCCUGGUAGUCCACGCAGUAAACGAUGAUGACUAACCGUCGGUCAAGACUGAUCGGUGGCCAAGCGAAAGCGAUAAGUCAUCCACCUGGGGAGUACGACCGCGAGGUUGAAACUCAAAGGAAUUGACGGG